UCUAUUUUCUGUCCUCUUACAUGUCAUGGAUACACUGAUAGCCUGUCGCCAUCUCUAAUCCAGCAUUUAUAAAAACAAAGAUCCUUCUCUUUCACUAUUCUAAACAGUUUUCUUUUUAAUUUCCAAGCAGGUCAAUGGCACCACCAUUAUGCUAGAAAUUUUGGUAUCUUAUUCAUUACAACUGGUCAUUGUUAAAUCCUUUCAAGUGAGGUCCAUGGAUCAACAAUAUUAGUCCCACCUGGAAGCCUGUUAGAAAUGCAAAUUCUUGGUCCUAUCCCAGACCUUCUGAACUACAGUCUGUCUUUUAACUGUGUUUAGCAAGCUCUCCAGCUGAAUCUAAUGCAGGGUGGCCUUCAGUAACCAGUCAUCUGGAGUCGAGUGUAGAUGGGCAUCCCUCCAGGCUUAUAUCACUCAAACAACUUCUUGAUAGAACCUCUGGAAGGAAAUCAGUGGCUGCUAUGAAUAAAGUUCCUGUUGCUCUCUACAUCCUCCCAGCAUCUGGUGACAUCAAACUGGUAUCAGUGAGGACUUUGGCCAUUCUGGU